GUAGGCGUCACUGUUUCCUAGGAAACCGCGCGGCCCUUCAUCCAGAGAAGAGUCCGGCCACCGUGGCCGCCUCUUCGCCCCAUUGUAGUCAUUGGUGAGGGGCCCAUUGCGCGGCUGGCACGGUCACGACGUAAUGUAGCACCGAACACCAGUACAUCACACCGUGAUGAAGUACAGUUUGUCCUAAGGAUUAAUCCAUACUAUGGAAAGCCCCGAAGACCUCUGCUUUCCUGAAGAAGGAUGUGACAGCAGCAUAGUUCUUGAAAAGCAAGUUUUUGGAUCCCAAGUAUCAGAAUCACAUGUUCAGCUUGCUUGCAGCCUCCAUUACUGUGCUUUUCCUUUGAAUGGAAACGAGCUUUGUAUUUUGGAUACGACUGAUGAUCCUGAGCACCAGCCAUUACACUUAAUUGGCCAUCACCAUUCGAUUACUGCAGUGGCAUUUGGAAGUAAGGUCAGUCCACUUCUAAUUUGCUCUGCUUCGAGUGACUAUGUGAUAGUGUGGGAUCUGGACGCAUGUAUGAAGAAGGUGCUAGAAGGAUUAAUGCCACAAGGUGUUGUUAUAGGGACACUCCUGGGCAUGGUGCUUUAUGUCCGAUUUAGUCCAGAUGAUCAGACUGUGGCAGUUUGUGCUGGCAAUAGGAUUUACAUGUUAAAUGCAAAGGAUGAGGCUAUACUUGCAGAACUAGAGGGCCAUUUGGCUCCAGUGACAGCUGCUGAGUUUUGUACUUGGGAGAAAAAUAUACUGAUAUCAGUGUCUGAAGACAGAAGUUUUAAGGUAUGGGAUUAUUGUACUGGACUGCUAAUAUAUCAAUCAGCAGUAAUAACAGCAUUUCCUCUUUUAAGUCUCUUCAUUGAUGACGAAAAUAAACAGAUCAUCACUGGAUGUGCAGAUGGACAGCUGUGGAUCUUCAGCUUGAGUAGAGGGCACCAAUAUCGCUGUGUGGUACAUAUUAAUGUACAGAAAGAGAGGGAGAAGUUUUACAACAAAAUUGGAAAAUCUGAACAUUUGGAUCAGAUUCAGAAUUCAUCAAAGGCAUAUACUUCAAAUGAUUUAAGAUAUGAAGAAACAGUUGAAUCCAGUUUUCCUGUUCUCCAAAUUGAACACUGUGACAAAUCUGCAAAUUUAGAGGAUGAAGUACCCAGUUUUUCUUAUGCAAAUGCCCGAUGCUUAUGGAUAGGAAGUUCUACUGGUUUGUUCAUAAUUAACAUGGCAAACUUUGAAUUGGAAGCUAUUCUACAUUUUAGAGAUUUCAGUGCUCUCAGCAUUCAGUCAGCUGGAUCAUGUGCUAUAAUGAAGAAGGCAGUCAGUGGUAAGGUAUGUUGCGUGCUAACUUCAAUGUUUGAGAACAGAAUUGCCUUACUGGAGGUGAAUGUUGCUGCUCUGUUGAGAUCCCAACAAAAUGAACUCCAUUUAAGUGGAAAGGAAAAAAGGCUUUCAGUCAUUGCCAGGUGUUCCCUCUUACCAACCUCUCCAUUAUGCCUGAAGAAGGAAAAAAACAUCUUGGGAAAUAGAAAAGAUAUAAAGAGCUCUGUAAAAGAUCAGCCACUGGUUUUCCAUAACAAAAUUAAGUCAUCAGGUUAUACAUCAGCACCACAAAUGACUAUGUUUUCUCCAAAGAUGAAUACAAAGCCAAAGAGUUCAGUACCAAAAGGCAAGAAAAGUAACAAACGAAGAAAUGAAGAAUAUCCACUUCCAAAAUCUCCUCCAACCAAAUUUGAGAGGCAGGUUACUGUUGCUGACAAAUCAACAUCUGUAUGCUGUAUUCAAUAUUCAGGAGAUGGAGAGCUCUUGGCUUGUGGUUUAGCUGACAAAACAUUGUUGGCAUUCAAGUCAAACCUCACAGGAACGCCAACUGUUUAUUCAGGGCAUGAUGGUGCUGUUAACUCGGUUGGUUGGAGCCUUGAUAACCACUGGCUUGUUUCAUCUUCUGAAGACAGAACAUUAAGGAUCUGGUCAGUCAGCAGUGCAGAGCCUGCUUUAUGUCUGGGAAAGGAACUUUUUCAUAAACCCAUCAGAUCAGCCCAGUUCUAUUACAUAGAUACAUUUAUACUGCUAUCCUGUGGAGCAGAGUUUUAUUUGUUAAGAUACUAUCUGGACACUAGCAAAGAUGAGUUUAAACGGUACAAAAGUAAGAGCAUUUGCAAAUCAAUACAGAAAUUUCGCAUGACAUCUACAGUGGAAAUUUCCAGUCUUUCAGCUGUAAAUGAAUUCUAUUCUUAUAACAGAUAUUGUUCUGGCAGCUGGCAGCAACCGAGCACUAGAAGUGUUUGACCUCAACGUUGGCUGUAGUGCAGCAGUAAUAACAGAUGCUCAUUCUAGAUCAGUUCACCAGAUUUGCCAAAAUAAGGACAAAAUGUGAUCAGAAAAAGAAGAUUUGAUCCCUUUGCAAUUUGAAAAAAGUCUGAAGGAAGAUCGCUAAAGACCUUAAAAAGGACAAGGAAUUCCAAAAUCUAAUCAAACUUGCUUCCAUAAGUUUCAGAUAUGCUGUUGACUAGUUAGAGUUGAACAUUCCUGUUUGAAGUGAGGGCAAGGAGUUUUGGGGCCACUCAGCUGCCCUGAGUCCCCUUGGGUGAGAAGGGCGGGGUAGAAAUGUUGUAAAUAAAUAAAUAAAAUGACUAUGGGCUUCAUGAAGCUUAGGGGUUACACUUUGUUCAGCCCCUGUUUAAGCAUUGCUUCCCAGUUUGCAUCAUUUUGGAUCCAUUGUGAAGUUCUUAAGCUGUUGGAUUUUAUCAAAGAGAGAAAUAAUAUGAUCGUUCAAUAUAAAGGUCAGCAUAGGAAGACUAUUGUGUGUUAGAGAACUGACAAUAAUCUGCAAAUUCUAUUUGAAGAAGGAAAGACGUUGCAGAAUAGAGUAUUCCUGUUCAGGUUUUCAGUGAGCCUUUCUUCAAGUUUUAUCUCAACCUCCUGGGAGCCUCUGGUGGCCUAGGGGAUAAAAGCCUUGUCACUUGAAGGUUGGGUUGCUGUCCUGAAGGCUGCCAGGUUCGAAUCCCACCAGGGGAGAGCGCAGAUGAGCUCCCUCUAUCAGCUCCAGCUCCAUGCGGGGACAUGAGAGAAGCCUCCCACAAGGAUGGUAAAACAUCAAAACAUCUGGGCGUCCCCUGGGCAACGUCCUUGCAGACGGCCAAUUCUCACACUCCAGAAGUAACUCCGCUUGCUCCUGACAAGAAAAAAAAAAUCUCAACCUCCUUGACAUUUCCCCACAAAUGGUCCACAUCCUGGGAUCUUGGAACAUGCUUUGUCUUCUUUAGUCUGCUUUUCCAUCUCCCCAGCUCCCAACCUUAAGAUUUUUUUUGUAUUUUUUUUUAUUCUAGUCCAUUACCAUUAGCCCUUUGGGAUGUUACACAAUGGCAUACAAUCUGUCAUACUCAAUAUGUUGAAAUCUGUGAAUAUUGACUUGAACCCUGAUUGUAUUUUAUGGUCAUAAACUCUCAUUGGUUUCACUUAAGUAUAUUUCCAAGCACUCAUACUUAGGUCAGAGUUUUAGUUAAAAUAUUUUUAUGAUGUUGGAUUGGCAUCAUUAGAGCUAAAAUAACAUAAUUAUUACAAAAAGUAGUCUGUCAGCAGUUCCAGUUAAUUCAGAUGUUCUUUUAGUAUUUAUGCAACUCCUUAAAACAUUCACUCUGAGCUGAAGUUUGUUUUGUCAUAAUCAGAAAGGGGAAAGUAGUCCCUAAAUUUAGUCUAAAUAAAUUCCACAUUCUACAUAUCGGAAGUGCAAAACACUUUUUGUGGUUUCCAAUAUUUCUUGGUAAUCCAUAAAUCAAAAAUUUAAAUACAUUUUCAAAGAUGUUA